rnacentral:rRNA from 1 species
AGAGUUUGAUCAUGGCUCAGGAUGAACGCUGGCGGCGUGCUUAACACAUGCAAGUCGAACGAACCUUCGGGUUAGUGGCGGACGGGUGAGUAACGCGUGGGAAUCUGCCCUCAGGAGGGGGAUAACGGCUGGAAACGGCCGCUAAUACCCCAUAUGCCGAGAGGUGAAAUGAAUUUCGCCUGAGGAUGAGCCCGCGUCUGAUUAGCUAGUUGGUGAGGUAAGAGCUCACCAAGGCAUCGAUCAGUAGCUGGUCUGAGAGGAUGAUCAGCCACACUGGGACUGAGACACGGCCCAGACUCCUACGGGAGGCAGCAGUGGGGAAUUUUCCGCAAUGGGCGAAAGCCUGACGGAGCAACGCCGCGUGAGGGAUGAAGGCCUCUGGGCUGUAAACCUCUUUUCUCAAGGAAGAAGAUCUGACGGUACUUGAGGAAUAAGCCACGGCUAAUUCCGUGCCAGCAGCCGCGGUAAUACGGGAGUGGCAAGCGUUAUCCGGAAUUAUUGGGCGUAAAGCGUCCGCAGGCGGCCCUUCAAGUCUGCUGUUAAAAAGUGGAGCUUAACUCCAUCAUGGCAGUGGAAACUGUUGGGCUUGAGUGUGGUAGGGGCAGAGGGAAUUCCCGGUGUAGCGGUGAAAUGCGUAGAUAUCGGGAAGAACACCAGUGGCGAAGGCGCUCUGCUGGGCCAUAACUGACGCUCAUGGACGAAAGCCAGGGGAGCGAAAGGGAUUAGAUACCCCUGUAGUCCUGGCCGUAAACGAUGAACACUAGGUGUCGGGGGAAUCGACCCCCUCGGUGUCGUAGCCAACGCGUUAAGUGUUCCGCCUGGGGAGUACGCACGCAAGUGUGAAACUCAAAGGAAUUGACGGGGGCCCGCACAAGCGGUGGAGUAUGUGGUUUAAUUCGAUGCAACGCGAAGAACCUUACCAGGGUUUUGACAUCCUGCGAACCUCUUGGAAACGAGAGGGUGCCUUCAGGAGCGCAGUGACAGGUGGUGCAUGGCUGUCGUCAGCUCGUGUCGUGAGAUGUUGGGUUAAGUCCCGCAACGAGCGCAACCCACGUCUUUAGUUGCCAGCAUUUAGUUGGGCACUCUAGAGAGACCGCCGGUGAUAAACCGGAGGAAGGUGUGGAUGACGUCAAGUCAUCAUGCCCCUUACAUCCUGGGCUACACACGUACUACAAUGCUACGGACAAAGAGCAGCAAGUUCGCGAGGACAAGCAAAUCUCAUAAACCGUGGCUCAGUUCAGAUCGUAGGCUGCAACUCGCCUACGUGAAGGAGGAAUCGCUAGUAAUCGCAGGUCAGCAUACUGCGGUGAAUACGUUCCCGGGCCUUGUACACACCGCCCGUCACACCAUGGAAGUUGGCCACGCCCGAAGCCGUUACUCCAACCCUCGGGAGGAGGACGUCGAAGGUGGGGCUGAUGACUGGGGUGAAGUCGUAACAAGGUAGCCGUA